CUGAUGUAUAAAAAUAAAAAAAAAACUCAUCUGUCAUUUUCGCAAAGCAAAUAAAAAUAAUUUGAAAUUAAAAUGUACGUUUCAGUCAGUUUUACCAAAUUAAGUACUGUUUUAAUGGCAAAUAUAAAAUAUACAGUUCCCAUUCUUUAUUCUGAUCGCCGGCUCAGAAGGCCAAGGAGAAAUCCGACGAUGGUGUCCAUCGGAUCAUUCUCAAAGUGGCGUAAGGGAGAGCCACCGUUUUUUUUGCGUUGAGUCCUCUUCCUCAGUACGAAAUCGGCUAUCCAAUAGGCAUCGGCAAUUGGCCUAGAGAUCCCUUCAAUACUACCAUGCACCAUUUUGCUUCAAUUCUUUGGUCGUAUGAUUCCACAUUCCACCAAAUAGUGCUGUUGGAUGGAUGCGGCAGUUUGGAACAUUGCAUUGCAUAUUGUAGUACUGCAGCAAUUCUAGCAUCCACAAUCUCAACAUUGCUCUGGCGAUGGAAGCAAAACUAUCACAAGGCGCAGACGCAUUUGUUAGAAACUUGAGUUCAGGAGUGACCAUGGUGUUGGUUGGCUAUUCCGGGAUUAUGCUUCGGUCAAAACCAGUAGUUACAAUGAACUACGUGUCGUUUUAUUGCCUACGUAAUGAUGAUCGGACUGACUUAUUUCAUUUACAAAUGUAAGCAUCAAUUUUACUACAAAUCUAACCGGGAUUGUGAUAGGAGCAAUAGAGGUAACUUUAUUUAAUGGACCAGUAAAUAAACUAUGCG